rnacentral:lncRNA from 1 species
AGAGAGAUGUCUCAUCAGCAUGUGACUGGCUCCACAUAUCAAAAUGUUAAGAAUUGGAGUCUAUUAAGUACCAUGCAAACACAUUCCAGCAUGAUGAAUGUUAGCCAGUAGGAUUGAAGCUUCUCGAUUGGAUUGGUGCCUAACCCAGUUGUCAUCAGAGAGGCUUCAGCCAACAACUGAUGGAAACAGAUGCAGAGACUCACAGCCAAACAUUAGGCAGAGCUUGGGAAAUCCUGCUGAAGAGGGGAAAGAAGGAUUGUAGGAGCCAGAAGAGUCAAGAAAACACACAGAAUCAACUAACCUUGGGUCACAGGAGCCCCCAGAGACUGACCCACCAACCACAGAGCCUGCAUGGGACUGACCUAGGUCCUCUGCACAUAUGCUACAGUUGUGUAGCUUGGUGUUUUUGUGAGACUCCUAACAGUAGGAGUAUGGGCUUUUUCUAACUCCUCUGCCUGCCUUCGAGACCUUAUCCUCCUACUGGGUUGUUUCAUCUACCCUUACUAGGAGAGGAGAUGCCUAGUCUUACUGUAACUCAAUAUGCCAUGGCUGGUUGAUAUCCAUGGGAGGCCUGACCCUUUCUGAAAAGAUGAGGAGUUAGGCAACAGGGACUAGGUGGAGAGGAGGGAGGAAAGACUGCAGUAAGGAUGUAAAAUAAAUAACGAAUAAGAUUUCGAAAGUCAAAUUACACACACUAAAAUGAAAUUUAGGUGAUUACAAGUUUUCUGUAGCACGCGGCAAACAUCCCUAGCUGGGGCAGUGGUUGUCACGUUUUUGUUUGUAUAGGCCUUUAAGAGAAAUUUUUUA